UCUCAUCACCUACCAUUAACUAAUCAGCUUCUCCAGGUAGCACAGCUGCUUUCCCUCCUCUGAAAUCACAUGUGACUCCAUCUUUCUGGUCAAAAAUAUCUUCCUGGAACUCCAGACAAAGCAGCAACACCUCCAGUGUUCAUCUUUUUCGUGGCCACACUUCCUGCAGGAGCAAAAGGAGCAGAGCCCUUCCUCAGGCAUUGCCUUGUGGCCAGUACCAGCACAGCCUGGAAAGCAUUGGCAGCAGAGGACAGUGGGGGCCUGGACACUAUCCCAUGCACUCCCUGCACACAGCAGUCAUCUGGCUGUGCUUGUUAGAAAACAAGCUCCAACAGAACUUGGCUUUCCAAGACACCCUCUGCUCUGCUUCAGACCCUCCCACUGUCAUUCUGCACCUCAUAACUAGAGUUUCAAAGUCUCCUGCACAGUACAGUGAACUCUACCUACUGGAUCCAGGUUUCUGGACAAGUUGAAGCUGUACAGUUGAUUGGAGGGUACUACAUGAAACCCUCCUAGACUAAAAAAUAAAUCUGCAAUACAACCAAGAUCUUGGAUGCAGAACAUGAUUGGGUUUUCAUUGUAUAUGCAAGUUUUCCUGGAAACAGAAGUAAAACUAGAACAGCAAAAACUUCAUGAAUGGUUUUGGCUCACACUUAUCCUGGUAGCAUUCCCAUCAGGAAGUCUGAAAUUUCAUUUCAUAGAUGUGAACUUACUAAAGGCCAAAAAGUGGAGAGCCUUCAGCUGUUUUUUCUUGAAAUGCUGACAAUGCAGAAGAGCUUGAAAAACACUGCGUCAGUAUGGCUACAUUUCUAUUGCUGGCAAAUACAGAAUGGCUAUGUCAUUUUGAUAAUUCAUCAGCAACUUGCCACAGAACAAUGCAGAAGAAAACAAGCACCUCAAUGCUGACGCUACAAACAGGGCCACCAACCUCUGAAACAGGAAAUGAGUCUCCUACCAACAGCCUAUUUGAAAAAUCAAAACUGAAGAGUUUCAGAAAAGACAUCCCAA